UAUGUCAUAAGGGUAUUUUCUUGUGCAGAGAAUGGUGAUCGCAUUGUCAUCUGAUACAGCGGUUUGGGAUGCUGUGAUGAACAAUGAGGUGGUGUGGGAGCUCCGGGAGUCUUCCUAUGCAGACGCAGAUAAAGACAAUAGCUCUGAUAGUCCACAAGAGAAUUCCGAUGAUAACAACGAUAAAGCAACAAACAUUGUGAAGUGGAUCUUUCAAAACACUAUGGCAAAAGUCAUGGAAGCAAUCGAGAAAAUUACGAAGGUCAUGGGCGAUUUAUUUCAACCUCCAAGCAGUGGAAAUGUGAAAGCAGAAGCCAGCAAUCGCUUUGUGGACAAGCUGAAAACAUCGUUCAUGCUCUCCGUUGUGGUCCUCUUGAGUGUGGUGGUUAUUCGAACCCACAAGGCUUCACCCUAAAUCCGACGACAUCACGUUGUAUAUCCCCAUUGGAUGACUGGCUGGUGAAGUUUUCCAAUCCUCUGCAUUGUUAGGCAUUUUAUGUUUCAAACCGUGCUUUGUUAUGGUCUUCCAGUGCUGGUACAUUUUCAGGUUGCCUGCAAAUGGGGAUUUAUGGAUACGACCUAUGUUUUUUGUUUAAAGGGGGAAUCCAAGACAACAAGACCCCCCACAUUGCGAGAGUCGAAUAAGCUAUGUUGUUUACCGUGUGCGUGUGAGACGCGGUGGACGUAAGAGACCAGUUUUUAAGGGUAUUGUGUAUAGUAAACCCUCAAACCAGGGCGUCACUCAAUUGAAAUAACAACGGAGCAAGUGCACGGUUGCAGAGUAGCUGGCUGGCCGGAAACUAGGCGGUCUCAAGGUUCUUACUGGGUUAACGAGGAUUCAACAUACAAAUACUAUGAGAGGCAAUCUUGGUUGAAGCUGCCCACAAUGCAAUCCACAACGACACAAGGACGUACGAACUGGAUCUGCAAUCGGUUCACAACCACAGGGGACUUGUCGGACUCACUUCUGCUGGAAAGAAGUGCAGAGGCUUGAAUAUCAGGGGACACUUGCACCGCAAGGUACGACCGUCGAGGAGGGCAAAUUGGAAAGAUGGUAUCUCUUCCACGAUUUCGUUGAAUGUACUGACUUUGCUAGUUUAUGUUUGGGUUUAGGCAUUGGAAGAGAGAAGCUGUCGAGUUUUUCUAUAGGUAAACUAGCUUUGGACCAUUUAUCAUACGAAUGCUUACAUAAGUUGGUUUUUGCCCCUUC